AAAUAACUACGAGUAUAAACUUAAAAUUUAAAAGACUUGACGGUGCUUCACAACAACCUAGAGGAGCCUGUCUAAUAACCGAUACCCCACGAUUAACCCUACCCACCCUGGCCUACCAGUCUAUAUACCGCCGUCGCCAGCUUACCUUGUGAAAGAAACAAAGUAAACCCAAUAAGUUACCCCUAACACGACAGGUCGAGGUGUAACAAAUGGGUGGGUAAAAGAUGGGCUACAUUUUCUAACACAGAAAACACGAACAGACUAUGAAACUAGAAACUGAAGGCGGAUUUAGCAGUAUGUUAAGGACAAAACGCUUAACUGAAACCAAUGCAAUGAAGUGUGU
rnacentral:rRNA from 1 species